ensembl:lncRNA
CCGUUUUCUUUAGGCAAACUUGCCUAGUUUCUUUCCUUUUCUGUCUCGGAAUAGAUUUUAAUCUGUUAUGCUUUAAAUAAAGCGAAAUCGUCUAUUUCAUUUGCGUGCCGUUGCUUCGUCCUGUGAAGUCCGUCUUACCCAGCAAAACAAACCAGUCAGCUGACCUCUGACGUCAUGGCGCAUAUGCCGCGUGCGUGAGGAAAAGGGGAAGGGUUUGAGGUUAGUCACUCUGACCUCCCAAUGAGGCAUAUUUUUUUAAGGUGCUGAAAUUGGAGAGAUGUGGAGGUGGUGAAUUUGCUCCGCACCCGCCAAUCUGCCUGUCAGAGGGAUGCUGAAAAAUUUCG